rnacentral:lncRNA from 1 species
GACCAAGGAAGGCACCCCACGGCUAUGGGGAAAUUAGCCUGAGACUUAGCUUUCAUUAUCACUGUCUCCCAGGGUGUGCUUGUCGAAGAGAUAUUCUGCCGAGCCAGAUUCGGGCGCUCCCAUCUUGCGCAAGUUGGUCACGUGGUCACUCAAUUCUUUGAUGGCUUUCACCUGCUCAUUCAGGGCACUAAUAUACACAUGAUGAUACUUAAUUCUCUCAGAAAACCUUUGGCAAAGACACUUUCUACAUCUUGAAGGCAAGGAAUCUGAAUCUUGAAGAGAUUAAAUGAAUUGUCCAAAGUCACGUGGGGGUUUGGGAGAAGGAAAAUCAUGAACACACAUUCUUCUACUCUGGAGAAGUGGGGAAGGUGACCUGGGAAACCAUCUGAAAGGGAGCAGGAUGGAUUCUAUAAAAUAUAGAGUGUUCAAUGAAAACAACCUGAUGCUCCUCCCAGUACCAUCACAUUUUUCUAGCUGCAUAUCCUUAGGUAAGUCAAUGUCUGAAUUUCAGUUUCCUCACUGUUAAAUGGGAUAAUAAGCUUUACCUUACAGGAUUA